GAUGAACGCUGACAGAAUGCUUAACACAUGCAAGUCAACUUGGUGGCGGACGGGUGAGUAACGCGUCAAGAACUUGCCUCCCAGCUAGGGACAACAUUUGGAAACGACUGCUAAUACCUCCUACUGUGAGAGAGCUUUGCGUCCCAUUAGCUAGUUGGAGAGGUAAUGGCUCACCAAGGCGAGGAUGGGUAGCCGGCCUGAGAGGGUGAUCGGGCACAAGGGGACUGGGGCACGGCCCGUACGCCAUCUGGAGGCAGGAGUGGAGAAUAGUGGACAACGGACCAAGGUAUGAUCAAGGAAUUCGGGGUGCACGAUAAAUUUUUUCGGAAUGAAAAGUGCUUUCAGUAGGGACGGUACCAACAGAAGAAGUGACGGCUAACUACGUGCCAGCAGCCGCGGUAAUUC
rnacentral:rRNA from 1 species